rnacentral:rRNA from 1 species
CUUUACUAUAGCUUGGAAUUGUGUUCGGGCUUGCUGUGCGCAGUAUAGGUGGGAGGCGUUGAAGGUAUCCUUGUGGGGAUACUCGAGCCAACAGUGAGAUACCACUCUCAGAAAGCUAGAAUUCUAACUCGAAAGAGGAAAGUUUCAGGUGGGUAGUUUGACUGGGGCGGUCGCCUCCAAAAAAGUAACGGAGGCGUACAAAGGUUACCUCAGACUGGUUGGAAAUCAGUCGCAGAGUGCAAAAGCAGAAGGUAGCUUGACUGCGAGACGGACAAGUCGAGCAGGGUGGAAACACGGUUUUAGUGAUCCGACGGUGCCGAGUGGAAGGGCCGUCGCUCAACGGAUAAAAGUUA